CAGUGCCACGGUAAUACGAAGGGGGCUAGCGUUGCUCGGAAUCACUGGGCGUAAAGGGUGCGUAGGCGGGUCUUUAAGUCAGGGGUGAAAUCCUGGAGCUCAACUCCAGAACUGCCUUUGAUACUGAAGAUCUUGAGUUCGGGAGAGGUGAGUGGAACUGCGAGUGUAGAGGUGAAAUGCGUAGAUAUCGGAAGGAACACCUGUGGCGAAAGCGGCUCACUGGACCAUUUCUGACGCUGAUGCACGAAAGCUAGGGGAGCAAACAGGAUUAGAUACCCGCGUAGUCCCUGUCUCUUAUACA
rnacentral:rRNA from 1 species